rnacentral:rRNA from 1 species
UACGGGGGGGGUAAGCGUUGUUCGGAAUUACUGGGCGUAAAGGGCUCGUAGGCGGCCAACUAAGUCGGACGUGAAAUCCCUCGGCUUAACCGGGGAACUGCGUCCGAUACUGGAUGGCUUGAGGUUGGGAGAGGGAUGCGGAAUUCCAGGUGUAGCGGUGAAAUGCGUAGAUAUCUGGAGGAACACCGGUGGCGAAGGCGGCAUCCUGGACCAAUUCUGACGCUGAGUGAGCGAAAGCCAGGGGAGCAAACGGG